rnacentral:rRNA from 1 species
AUGCCUUCGCCGGGUCCGCCAUGGCCCGCUGUCGCUGGGUCACCCCGCUUCUAUUCUCUUCCUGGCUAUUCCCCUACCCGUAUUCCACCACCUAUCUGUCAUCUCCUCCGUGACCGCACCCCGUUCUCCGGCAGCCCGCCGUCGACAUCCUCCAGGGUCCGCCCGGCAUCGGCCAUGGCAUCGCCGGUGCUCAUCUCUGACACCGACCAGUGGAAAGCCCUCCAGGCGCACGUCGGCGCGAUCCACAAGACGCACCUGCGCGAUCUCAUGACAGACAUCGACCGAUGCAAGGCAAUGACGGCGGAAUUUGAAGGCGCCUUCCUGGACUACUCGAGGCAGCAGGCCACCACCGAGACCAUCGACAAGCUCUUCAAGCUGGCGGAGGCCGCAAAGCUCAAGGAGAAGAUCGACAAGCUCUUCAAGACUUUCAGAACUGGCUCAUGGAUUGGGGCAACUGGGAAACCAUUGACAAAUGUUGUCUCAGUUGGGAUUGGUGGUAGCUUACUUGGACCUCUGUUUGUGCAUACGGCUCUCCAGACUGACCCGGAAGCAGCAUAA